AGAAAGAUGUCCGAGAGGUUAAAAGAUGUAAAUUGCUAAUUUAUUAUUCAAGGGUUCGAAUCCCUUUCUUUCUU